rnacentral:rRNA from 1 species
UAAAACUCAAAUGAAUUGACGGGGGCCCGCACAAGCGGUGGAGAGCAUGUGGUUUAAUUCGAUGCAACGCGAAGAACCUUACCUGGUCUUGACAUAGUGAGAAUCCUGCAGAGAUGCGGGAGUGCCUUCGGGAAUUCACAUACAGGUGCUGCAUGGCUGUCGUCAGCUCGUGUCGUGAGAUGUUGGGUUAAGUCCCGCAACGAGCGCAACCCUUUUCCUUAUUUGCCAGCGGGUUAAGCCGGGAACUUUAAGGAUACUGCCAGUGACAAACUGGAGGAAGGCGGGGACGACGUC